UACGUAGGUGGCAAGCGUUGUCCGGAUUUACUGGGCGUAAAGAGCGCGCAGGCGGUCGGUCAAGUCGCGUGUGAAAGCCCCCGGCUCAACUGGGGAGGGUCACGCGAUACUGAUCGACUCGAAGGCAGGAGGGGGUAGUGGAAUUCCCGGUGUAGUGGUGAAAUGCGUAGAUAUCGGGAGGAACACCAGUGGCGAAGGCGACUACCUGGGCUGGUUCUUGACGCUGAGGCGCGAAAGCUAGGGGAGCAAACGGG
rnacentral:rRNA from 1 species